rnacentral:rRNA from 1 species
GAUCCUGGCUCAGAUUGAACGCUGGCGGCAUGCUUUACACAUGCAAGUCGAACGGUAACAGGUCUUCGGAUGCUGACGAGUGGCGAACGGGUGAGUAAUACAUCGGAACGUGCCUAGUAGUGGGGGAUAACUACUCGAAAGAGUAGCUAAUACCGCAUGAGAUCUACGGAUGAAAGCAGGGGACCUUCGGGCCUUGUGCUACUAGAGCGGCUGAUGGCAGAUUAGGUAGUUGGG